rnacentral:rRNA from 1 species
UACGGAGGGUGCAAGCGUUAUCCGGAUUCACUGGGUUUAAAGGGUGCGUAGGCGGGCAGGUAAGUCAGUGGUGAAAUCUUUGGGCUUAACCCGAAAACUGCCAUUGAUACUAUCUGUCUUGAAUAUUGUGGAGGUGAGCGGAAUAUGUCAUGUAGCGGUGAAAUGCUUAGAUAUGACAUAGAACACCCAUUGCGAAGGCAGCUCACUACGCAUAUAUUGACGCUGAGGCACGAAAGCGUGGGGAUCAAACAG